rnacentral:tRNA from 1 species
GGAGGAGUCGCAUAGUGGCCUAGUGCGUUCGCCUGGAAAGCGGAUAUAGCCGUAAGGUUAUCGCGAGUUCGAAUCUCGCCUCCUCCGCCA